UGAACGCUGGCGGCGUGCCUAAUACAUGCAAGUCGAGCGAACAGACGCGGAGCUUGCUCCUCUGACGUUAGCGGCGGACGGGUGAGUAACACGUGGAUAACCUACCUAUAAGACUGGGAUAACUUCGGGAAACCGGAGCUAAUACCGGAUAAUAUAUUGAACCGCAUGGUUCAAUAGUGAAAGACGGUUUUGCUGUCACUUAUAGAUGGAUCCGCGCCGCAUUAGCUAGUUGGUAAGGUAACGGCUUACCAAGGCGACGAUGCGUAGCCGACCUGAGAGGGUGAUCGGCCACACUGGAACUGAGACACGGUCCAGACUCCUACGGGAGGCAGCAGUAGGGAAUCUUCCGCAAUGGGCGAAAGCCUGACGGAGCAACGCCGCGUGAGUGAUGAAGGUCUUCGGAUCGUAAAACUCUGUUAUUAGGGAAGAACAAAUGUGUAAGUAACUAUGCACGUCUUGACGGUACCUAAUCAGAAAGCCACGGCUAACUACGUG
rnacentral:rRNA from 1 species